AUGUGGCAAUUAGAAUUCUGUCAGUUGGAUUACAGGAUCGUGGUGCUUGGGCAGUUGGGCUUGCAAGUUCAAGAGAACCAAAGCUUGUACCUGUUGUAGUAGAACAUGAACUUUAAGGCUGUAUAAUUGCCCAAAUCAUAAAUGUUGGCAGGAAGGUGAAUGCCUGUGGAAUCUUUCAGGACUUAAUUGCUGUUCAUGCAAACACAUUUGACGGAGAUGGUUCCAGUUACUGUGUGUGCAGAUUGUGUUCCUUCAUACAUGUCAUACAUACAUGUACUAGCUGUGCUGUCAUGGCUGUGGCUACAAUUUAAAAGAAUAUUGGACAUCAUGGACAUGAAGGCCUUGGACUUGGAGGAUGAAAGUAGAUGGACCUCCCUCCACCAGCAGACCAUGGUGACAGCUAGCUGGCUAUACUGUCAUUGACUGUUAGCAAUGACUUUCAACUGCAACUAGGGCUUCCAACGUCCAAAUGGUGUACAGCCCUACGACUACGUGUACGAGACAAUUUCGACAUCCAUCUGCUCAACAGAUCUUGAAAGGCACAUUUUACAUGUAAACAGGUCACCUAGGGCUAAUUCUACUGCCAUGCCUAUGUGCUGUUCGCUAUAUGGACCACGAUUGGCCAAAACUGAUAGAUAAUUGUUAUGUUCCCGCUUUGGGCUCCCAUUUUGCUGCAGUCGGCUGAAACUGGUCACAGACCCUUUCAAAAUAUAACUGUUCAACUUUUGACUUGAAACCGAUCGAAAUGCUUUUGUUUUGUCGGCUGGAAUAUCAUCUACAUCCACUGAGCUAAAACUUCAUCAGGUUAGUUGUUCAGAAGCCGUCUUGCACAUUUAGAGCACUUUUUUUGCUAAUGCAGAUGCACUAAACUGAAUAUGAAUAGCUACUGCAAUAAAAACACAAACUAAAUGUAGUGAUAAUCAUGAAAAAAGGCAACAUUGUGUAUUCCGCGGAUCACUUUGUUUUAAUUGUAUUCCGUGUGGUUUUAAUUUGAUUGCAACUGCAGACUGUAUGAUGUGGUGAUAGACAAAAUAAAGUACUGGUUCAAAUCAA